rnacentral:rRNA from 1 species
UACGAAGGGGGCUAGCGUUGCCCGGAAUCACUGGGCGUAAAGGGUGCGUAGGCGGGUCUUUAAGUCAGGGGUGAAAUCCUGGAGCUCAACUCCAGAACUGCCUUUGAUACUGAGGAUCUUGAGUUCGGGAGAGGUGAGUGGAACUGCGAGUGUAGAGGUGAAAUUCGUAGAUAUUCGCAAGAACACCAGUGGCGAAGGCGGCUCACUGGCCCGGUACUGACGCUGAGGCGCGAAAGCGUGGGGAGCAAACAGG